GUUCAGUAAAUCAACUGGGCCACGUGAGGUUCAGUAAAUCAACUGGGCCACGUGAGGUUCAGUAAAUCAACUGGGCCAUGUGCAGUUCAGUAGAUCAACUGGGCCACGUGAGGUUCAGUAAAUCAACUGGGCCACGUGAGGUUCAGUAAAUCAACUGGGCCACGUGAGGUUCAGUAAAUCAACUGGGCCACGUGCAGUUCAGUAAAUCAACUGGGCCACGUGAGGUUCAGUAAAUCAACUGGGCCACGUGAGAUUCAGUAAAUCAACUGGGCCACGUGAGGUUCAGUAAAACAACUGGGCAACGUGAGGUUCAGUAGAUCAACUGGGCCACGUGCGGUUCAGUAAAUCAACUGGGCCAUGUGAGGUUCCGUAGAUCAACUGGGCCACGUGAGGUUCAGUAAAUCAACUGUUCUAGAGCAGACAUAUAGAACAAGGAACCAUGUCAGAGAAGCAUGUUUGUUCUACGUAGCAUAUUUCUAUCUGAACAGGAAGUAUCCUCCUUUUGGCAAUGUCACCUGACUUGUUACGCCUGAGAUCUUGCCCCUUUUCUUAUAAAAUAUUUUUGAGCAUUGCAUAUAACUUCAUCAUAGAAUAUAAAACCUUCCAAAAAGUUGAUGUACGUUUCUCAUCACUUCUCACCAAAUCAACUGAAAAGUUUGCUGUGGACAAACCCAAAAGAGGGACAAACCUCUAGCCAAUUCAGCUCUACUACAUUUGGCAUGGCAUCUCAGCUCUACUACAUUUGGCAUGGCAUCUCAGCUCUACUACAUUUGGCAUGGCAUCUCAGCUCUACUACAUUUGGCAUGGCACCUCAGCUCGACUACAUUUGGCAUGGCACCUCAGCUCUACUACAUUUGGCAUGGCACCUCAGCUCUACUACAUUUGGCAUGGCACCUCAGCUCUACUACAUUUGGCAUGGCACCUCAGCUCUACUACAUUUGGCAUGGCACCUCAGCUCUACUACAUUUGGCAUGGCACCUCAGCUCUACUACAUUUGGCAUGGCACCUCAGCUCUACUACAUUUGGCAUGGCACCUCAGCUCUACUACAUUUGGCAUGGCAUCUCAGCUCUACUACAUUUGGCAUGGCACCUCAGCUCUACUACAUUUGGCAUGGCACCUCAGCUCUACUACAUUUGGCAUGGCACCUCAGCUCUACUACAUUUGGCAUGGCACCUCAGCUCUACUACAUUUGGCAUGGCACCUCAGCUCUACUACAUUUGGCAUGGCACCUCAGCUCUACUACAUUUGGCAUGGCACUUACUAGUUACUCCUAAAAGUCCAUCUGCUGCUGACCUUAUCCUCGAAUAGAAACCUAAUUGUAAUUAAACAUCUAUAAAUGACUAAUUAACCUAUAAAUGACUAACUGUUGUAGUUCAGUGUCAUCGAGGUCAUGAGGUAAUCAGCUGGAAUGGUACAGCUGCCAUCUCUCCCCGGUCCGAGACUAGAGUCCUGUUCACAAUGUAGGAAACAGACCAAAAUGGUUCAAAACAGAGUGGGAGAUGUUUUUUUUUGUGUUUUGUUUUUACAUUGCAAAACGGCGAUGCUACGGCGUACCGGUAAUGACCACGAUUGUGAGGUCGUGUCUACACUUGAAAUGUGGUAGUGUGUGUGUGAAGUGCUAUGUUUAUUUUGGCAAUAGCAGGUUAUUUCCAUACCCGUGGAUCAGGAGGGGGACCAGGCCUUUCAAAACCCCUCGUGUCUACACUUGACACUUACAUGUGACUUCAGAAUACAAAGACCGCAUUAAAAAGGUCGCUUUGCGAUCUGUUUAUAUUCAGAUCUGGCUGAUCACUUCAAGAGGUGGUACGUUGGGGGUGGCAGGUAGCCUAGUGGUUAGAGGCAGGUAGCCUAGUGGUUAGAGGCAGGUAGCCUAGUGGUUAGAGUGUGGGGUGGCAGGUAGCCUAGUGGUUAGAGUGUAGGGGUGGCAGGUAGCCUAGUGGUUAGAGUGUAGGGGCAGCAGGUAGCCUAGUGGUUAGAGUGUAGAGGUGGCAGGUAGCCUAGUGGUUAGAGGGUAGGGGUGGCAGGUAACCUAGUGGUUAGAGUGUAGGGGUGGCAGGUAGCCUAGUGGUUAGAGUGUAGAGGCGGCAGGGUAGCCUAGUGGUUAGAGUGUAGGGGUGGCAGGUAGCCUAGUGGUUAGAGUGUAGGGGUGGCAGGUAGCCUAGUGGUUAGAGUGUAGGGGUGGCAGGUAGCCUAGUGGUUAGAGUGUAGAGGUGGCAGGUAGCCUAGUGGUUAGAGCCUGGUAGCCUAGUGGUUAAAGGCAGGUAGCCUAGUGGUUAGAGUGUAGAGGUGGCAGGUAGCCUAGUGGUUAGAGCCUGGUAGCCUAGUGGUUAGAGCCUGGUAGCCUAGUGGUUAGAGGCAGGUAGCCUAGUGGUUAGAGUGUAGGGGUGGCAGGUAGCCUAGUGGUUAGAGGCAGGUAGCCUAGUGGUUAGAGUGUAGGGGUGGCAGGUAGCCUAGUGGUUAGAGGCAGGUAGCCUAGUGGUUAGAGUGUAGGGGUGGCAGGUAGCCUAGUGGUUAGAGUGUAGGGGUGGCAGGUAGCCUAGUGGUUAGAGUGUAGGGGUGGCAGGUAGCCUAGUGGUUAGAGUGUAGAGGUGGCAGGUAGCCUAGUGGUUAGAGGCAGGUAGCCUAGUGGUUAGAGUGUAGGGGUGGCAGGUAGCCUAGUGGUUAGAGUGUAGGGGUGGCAGGUAGCCUAGUGGUUAGAGGCAGGUAGCCUAGUGGUUAGAGUGUAGGGGUGGCAGGUAGCCUAGUGGUUAGAGGCAGGUAGCCUAGUGGUUAGAGUGUAAGGGUGGCAGGUAGCCUAGUGGUUAGAGGCAGGUAGCCUAGUGGUUAGAGUGUAGGGGUGGCAGGUAGCCUAGUGGUUAGAGGCAGGUAGCCUAGUGGUUAGAGUGUAAGGGUGGCAGGUAGCCUAGUGGUUAGAGGCAGGUAGCCUAGUGGUUAGAGUGUAGGGGUGGCAGGUAGCCUAGUGGUUAGAGGCAGGUAGCCUAGUGGUUAGAGUGUAAGGGUGGCAGGUAGCCUAGUGGUUAGAGGCAGGUAGCCUAGUGGUUAGAGUGUAGGGGUGGCAGGUAGCCUAGUGGUUAGAGGCAGGUAGCCUAGUGGUUAGAGUGUAAGGGUGGCAGGUAGCCUAGUGGUUAGAGGCAGGUAGCCUAGUGGUUAGAGUGUAGGGGGGGCAGGUAGCCUAGUGGUUAGAGUGUAGAGGUGGCAGGUAGCCUAGUGGUUAGAGUGUAGGGGUGGCAGGUAGCCUAGUGGUUAGAGGCAGGUAGCCUAGUGGUUAGAGUGUAGGGGUGGCAGGUAGCCUAGUGGUUAGAGGCAGGUAGCCUAGUGGUUAGAGUGUAGGGGUGGCAGGUAGCCUAGUGGUUAGAGGCAGGUAGCCUAGUGGUUAGAGUGUAGGGGUGGCAGGUAGCCUAGUGGUUAGAGUGUAGGGGUGGCAGGUAGCCUAGUGGUUAGAGGCAGGUAGCCUAGUGGUUAGAGUGUAGGGGUGGCAGGUAGCCUAGUGGUUAGAUGCAGGUAGCCUAGUGGUUAGAGUGUAGGGGGGGCAGGUAGCCUAGUGGUUAGAGUGUAGAGGUGGCAGGUAGCCUAGUGGUUAGAGUGUAGGGGUGGCAGGUAGCCUAGUGGUUAGAGGCAGGUAGCCUAGUGGUUAGAGUGUAGGGGUGGCAGGUAGCCUAGUGGUUAGAGGCAGGUAGCCUAGUGGUUAGAGUGUAAGGGUGGCAGGUAGCCUAGUGGUUAGAGGCAGGUAGCCUAGUGGUUAGAGUGUAGGGGUGGCAGGUAGCCUAGUGGUUAGAGGCAGGUAGCCUAGUGGUUAGAGUGUAAGGGUGGCAGGUAGCCUAGUGGUUAGAGGCAGGUAGCCUAGUGGUUAGAGUGUAGGGGUGGCAGGUAGCCUAGUGGUUAGAGGCAGGUAGCCUAGUGGUUAGAGUGUAAGGGUGGCAGGUAGCCUAGUGGUUAGAGGCAGGUAGCCUAGUGGUUAGAGUGUAGGGGGGGCAGGUAGCCUAGUGGUUAGAGUGUAGAGGUGGCAGGUAGCCUAGUGGUUAGAGUGUAGGGGUGGCAGGUAGCCUAGUGGUUAGAGGCAGGUAGCCUAGUGGUUAGAGUGUAGGGGUGGCAGGUAGCCUAGUGGUUAGAGGCAGGUAGCCUAGUGGUUAGAGUGUAGGGGUGGCAGGUAGCCUAGUGGUUAGAGGCAGGUAGCCUAGUGGUUAGAGUGUAGGGGUGGCAGGUAGCCUAGUGGUUAGAGUGUAGGGGUGGCAGGUAGCCUAGUGGUUAGAGGCAGGUAGCCUAGUGGUUAGAGUGUAGGGGUGGCAGGUAGCCUAGUGGUUAGAUGCAGGUAGCCUAGUGGUUAGAGUGUAGGGGGGGCAGGUAGCCUAGUGGUUAGAGUGUAGAGGUGGCAGGUAGCCUAGUGGUUAGAGUGUAGGGGUGGCAGGUAGCCUAGUGGUUAGAGGCAGGUAGCCUCAUGGUUAGAGUGUAGGGGUGGCAGGUAGCCUAGUGGUUAGAGGCAGGUAGCCUAGUGGUUAGAGUGUAGGGGUGGCAGGUAGCCUAGUGGUUAGAGGCAGGUAGCCUAGUGGUUAGAGUGUAGGGGUGGCAGGUAGCCUAGUGGUUAGAGGCAGGUAGCCUAGUGGUUAGAGUGUAGGGGUGGCAGGUAGCCUAGUGGUUAGAGUGUAGGGGUGGCAGGUAGCCUAGUGGUUAGAGGCAGGUAGCCUAGUGGUUAGAGUGUAGGGGUGGCAGGUAGCCUAGUGGUUAGAUGCAGGUAGCCUAGUGGUUAGAGUGUAGGGGGGGCAGGUAGGCUAGUGGUUAGAGUGUAGGGGGGGCAGGUAGCCUAGUGGUUAGAGUGUAGGGGCGGCAGGUAGCCUAGUGGUUAGAAUGUUGGGCCAGUAUGCGUAAAGGUUGCUGGUUCGAACCCCCCGGCGUGACAAAGUAAAAAUCUGUCAUUCGGCCCCUGAACAAGGCAGUUAACCCACUGUUCCUAGGCCGUCAUUGUAAAUAAUAAUUUGUUCUUAACUGACUUGCCUAGUUAAAUAAAGGUUCAAUUAAAAA